GGCCAUCAGCUCUAGGCUCACAAAGUGUUCUUCUAGAUUCAGAGGAAACUGCUGUCUGCCUUAUUUAUCACCCAUGAGAUGCUUGGGCAAAUCAAGACAAUCACGUGCAAGACCUAGCAUUGUUUUCUUCAGCAGUGCAAACACUCGUUCUCUUACUUCCGCUCUCUCUGUGCGCACUUCAGGCCUCUGCUCAGUCAUGCAACAAGUUCAGUGAAGUUGGAGAUUCAUGAAAUUGGAGACUGAUUAUAUUCGUGAGUCUCUACCUGUGGCAUCCAUGAAGAACUUUGUUAUGCUUAACAAGUCAAAAAAUAUGCAACUUGGAUUAAUAUCAUUACGUACUACAACUCCUCAGGUUGGGAGUGCCUGUGUGAAUGUAACCACAGUGACGCACAGAAGAAAGGAUGGGUCCAGCAAUUAAAUAGAAAAAGAAGAAUGCCUUAUUAAUGACCUCAGGCAAGAUGCUGAUGAGCUCUGCGUGGUGCCCCAAAGGUUAGCACGAGCUGCCUCACGUGAACAGGAAACUGGGGCAGACAGCAGAGCAUGUCUUUCACAUUUAAUGGGAUCUCGUUCUCUCCAAGAGGAACAGCAUGAAGCAAAUGGACCAUCCAGCACUGACUGCAGCUUGUGUGUGGUCUGUAACUAUGUGUGCAAUCCCAUAAGGACACCUACUCAAGAGAUAGUUUCUAUGAAGUGUUUUGGGCAAGGGGAGAGCAGCCAUGCUGGAGGCUGGUGGAAAGCAGCACCUCAGCAGCCUCCUGCCAUGUCAAGACAACGCUGGUCUGCAAAUAUUUCUUGGUAAACUGUGGAGACUGUGGUGCAGAAAAGGAGAAAGAGAAAGGGUUCCUCAAAUUCAAACAUCCUCAAAUACAAGCUGGAGAUUAUUGUCUUUCCCCUGCCCCUUCCCCAUCACAGAUCACUUGGAAGACUCUGUCCUCUUGCCAUGACAGAGGUCCCAAGUGCUGACCAUUUCCAUCACCAACACAGAACGGGGAAGACCCUUGGUGAGGCCAAGUAGAAGCACUUCUCUCUGCUUUGGAAUCAGACUAUAUUUUUGGGAAAGGAAGAGGACAGAGGGAGAAAGGAACAACAAAUCCUCUUUUGCUCUGAGAUGUGCACAUGUGUUUUCUGAUGGUUACCUUAUUAUAAGUUCUUCCAUUUCACCCCUUUCACCAUUCUCUAAUAAUUCCAAUAAAUGUCAGAUCCGAUCUCAGUUAAUGAAAUGUACACCUAUUAAAUGACCAAAGUGGAAAAAUGGCCCACCCUGACUCCCUGCCUUGAGACCCAGCUGCAACGCCUGCUUUUUACCCUGCAGUCAGAUGAUUUUACCAGGUCUCAGGAAAUUUCUAGUAAAAUAAACAAAUUUUAAAAAUCCUAUGGGACUUCCAGCUUGCUUCAUGAAGGAGCCCUCAGAUGUUAUUGAAUACGAGGAGCCAUUUGGUUCAUGUGUGACUGCAAGCACUAACCAAAGGCAGCAUAAUGGGAUAGGUAUUUACAACAUAACCAUUAUCUUAUCAGAGCUUCAGGUAUAGCUGUAAAUAGCCUGUUCCAGCUGGGCAAUCUGCUGAGUUAAAUGGGUUCUACUUUUAGAAGCAGGAACUGGAGAACAUGUCCCACUUAAAUGCAGAUUCACUUGCACCCAAGGGAUGGAAACUCAAACAGCUGACCCUGGCCAUGGAGGAGGUCCGUGUUCUGUGCAGUGUUGCUCCCUCCCUCUGACGCAGCAGGCUGAGCUCACACGGUUUGCACUGCUAGCACAAGUGCUCUGUUGACAGAGUCCUGUUUGCAGCUCACCAACCGUAGAGAAUUGCAGUUCCUUGGGUGGGAGGUGAUUUUGCACAGUCAGACAAAAAGAAAGUCAAGGCUGAAGGUGGAAGAAGAGAGACUAUUUUAGAAGAAGUGAGAAUAAGAAAGGGAGAGGGCAGAGAAGGAUUGAGGAAGGAGAACAUGAAAAACAAGACUGGAGAAAGAACAAAUGUUAAAGGACAAGCUUUGCCACUGUCUCCUUGGCUGUGACCUGCCUGAAUGGGACAAAGUGUUUACUCUCUGCAUGCUGCUAUGCACUGAGUGCCAGGUAAAAAGACUGAUCUUCCACACCCUGGCAGUAUCUUUCUUGUGCAGUGUCAGCAGGAAACAAAUCUGCUAAACCUAGACUCAGUCCCUGGGUUUCAAAGGAGACUUGUGAAGAAUCAGAAUUGGGUUGCAUUAAGUUUGAAGUUGUCUAAAAAUGGGAAUUAUUUCAAGGAAAUGAAAGUAAGAAGUUUUUAUCUCAGAUGUGAGAAAUUUGCAGCCCAUUCCAGCCUGAUAGAGAUUAAGUCUCCAGUCCUCCAGUAACAUCCUGAAAACAAUUCUACAAGAGAGUUGUCAGAAGAUGCUAUCCAAAAUUUUGGUGGGCUAGGUGGAUGAAACUAAAUCUUGCUUAUUAUUGGAUGUUUGGCAUCAACUGGAGAGUGGGUGAUUUGUGGUGACCAACCAUAAGGGAAGGUGGAAGUGGACUUGAGUUGGCAAGUAACGCCAGAGGCUUAGGAGUCUAGAGAAAACCAGCCCCUGGAAGUGUUAAGUGUUAAGGAGUGAGCCAGGGGUACUGAAUCUACUCACACAAGUAUACCAGGGCACAAAAACUGAGCCAGGGUAAACAGAAAGCAGACGACAGAUUAAUUUGCAAUAAACAUGGAAGCAGUUGCAACAGAAAUCAAUGUGCUUGAUGAAGGCUAUUUAGUUACAAGCUCUCAAUAAAAGUAUUCCAUAUCAUGAAAAGUAUGCAGCUUUUGGCAGUUUGCAAAGACAUACAAAACCAAAGUGCAUUUAUGAACAUAUAGUUGGGGGAACAAGGACUUGGAACAUUCUAAGAAAGAGAAGUUCUUCAGGCUUCCACUUACAUGUACAUGAUAAAGCUCAAGAAGAGGUAGCCCUAUGAUACUGAGGUGAGACAGACACCAUCAAAUUCUGAAACAGUGUCAUUAUGAACAGAAACUUUUCUACCCUUAUAUUACAGACUGUGAAGAGAACAGAUUGCAAACAGACAUUAGGAGAAGGACUUGGUGUUGCUGGCUGAUGAAAAGCUCAAUUAUGAGACAGUAAUAUGCAUUUCAGCAGAGAAAAACAACUGUAUCCUGUGCUGAAUCAAAAGAAGUGAAGGACAGGCCAAAAGUGGUGAUUCUCCUCUUCAACUCUGCUCUUGUGAGAUCCCACCUAACAUACUGGAUUCAGCUUUGAGCCCCUGCAGAAGAAGGAAAUGGACCUACUGGAGUGAAACCAGAGGAAGAUUUCUACAGAAUUAAAGAAAUGAGAGAAGAUGUAGUGGCAAAAUGGUGUGCAACUGCCUGUCCCAAACUCUAUCACAACCCUGGAAGUGGAUAUACAAGACCUCAGUCUUCCUAUCCAUCUGUUGAAUGCAAAUAGCUGAGAAAAUCCUACCCAGAAUGAAUGUCCUACUCAUUCCCCUUCUGUAUGGGAACUGCUGAAUCACGGCCUGAACCUUUGAUUGAUCAUCUGAGGCGAGCAAUGAGUCAGCCACAGAGCACAGGUGAAUUGCCUUCACCUGUGCUGAUGGAAGGGGUGAAGCCUGGCUGCACCUCUCCUGACCCAUUUAAGAGCUGAAUACCAGUGGGAAAGGAUCUUUUCUGGAGAUCUCUCCUCUGGAGUUUUGCAGUAAGCUCAGAACACAGGUUGGCUUGUUGCCUGCUGUCUCAACCCCUUCGUUUUACUGCAUGAAAGAAGCAGACUCUGAAGUUCAUCCUGACUUUUCCUGUCCACAUAUAUCAGGAAGUGUGAGAUGACAGUCUUUUUCUUUCUGCAUAUUUUCAAAGACAGCACAGAGCCUCUUCAACAUGAUAUAUCAGUAAUUUCAUGUAAGCUGGAGAAUUAUCUUUUAAUAUAUAUCAUCAGUAUAUUUAAGUUUCAUUUUAUAUCAGUUUGAUAAAAUUAAACUGGGCCUGCUUUCUACAAGUGUCUUGGAUGUUUUCCAUUUCUGUAAUUGUAACAUCUACUUACUGCACAUUA